AUUUCAAUAAAAUAUUUAUAACCUAAACAAAUCGGAAGCAACUGUAUUAUUCUCACUUUGGAGAUGAGCGGAUCAAGCGAGAGACAGAUGGCUUCACCUGGUAAUGGCAACGAUUGAAGUAAUUUCUUCGAGGGAAAUAUUCCAGGAAACAGGAUCAUCAAAUUAGAAUACAGAAGCACAGAUGCACACUUUUCAUGAAUUUAUGAUUUGCAUAUCAAUUGCAGUCUUUAAAGAGUACAUUGUAUUAAUACUUACAUAUAGACAACUUCAACAUCAAAAUAGAUUAGACGCGUAUCUCCAGUGACAUAAUUGUACAAAACAAACAAACUUUACAACCAGAAGUGUUGGAGGACAGCAACGCAAAUGUGUUGAAAUUAAUUGUCACAAAAAAAUGAAUAAAUAAAUACAUUAACAUAAACAAGUAUAAAAAGCAAGCAAAAGUAAGAGAUUUGAUUCUAAACGACAUAAAAGCUGACAUACAAUUGCUAUAUCAAAAGAAAGGGCAUACCGUUGUGACAAUUCACAAAACAAUCAUACAAACAUUGCAAAGUACUGCAAGUAGUCACUGUCAAUAUGCGUGUACAAUUUUAAUUCAUUCCCUAAAGCGGUUACCAAGAUACCAAUUUACAUAUACAAACUUAACAAAAAAUUGAAAAGUCGAGAAUGUUCGAUGAUUUUUAAACGUAUUGCGAGUGUUCAAUCGACUGUCGCUGUAAGCAGGAAGACGUUUAGGUGACACUAGACAGAUGAAUGUCAAGACAAGUAAAGGAUGACAUCUUUUAGAGCAGCUUCUUUACAAUCACAUUUCGAAAUUUAUAAAACACUUGGCAAUUUUUAAGCUUUUGAUGGAGAGGAAGAUCCAAGAAGCCAUUUCGGGCAAUAUUUCAGGCACGACUGGACACCUGAGUAGAACCACCGACCUUCCUUAAGCCGACAGAUGGCUUCCUCACAUAGAAGAAUUCUAUAUGCCAGUGGAAGUCUGCGACCUUAACUACAAAUACUUAAAAUUCAAUUAUAUUAACGUUAGAUAUCAAAUGAAACUAAAAAAAUUUUUUUAAUAAAAACUGUCUGAAUACGUGUUAAAAAGAAUGGAAUCAGAUAUCCCUUUCGCCAAAAACUAUCAAACGAUGAAGACAGUAACAAGCUAGACACGCAGACACUCUGUGUUAUGAAGAUACAUGGCUGAAGAUUAGGGUGCAAGAAAUCAUUAGCCCUCCUGAGACAUCACAGAAAUAAAAACUGUCUGAAUAAAUGUUAUAAAGAAUGGAAUCAGAUAUCUCUAUUGCCCAAAACUAUCAAACGAUGAAGACAGUAACAAGCUAGACACGCUGACACUCUGUGUUAUGAAGAUACAACAAAUGUACAUGGCUGACGUUGAGGGUGCAAGAAAUCAUUAGCCCUCCUGAGAUAUCACAGAAAUAAAAACAUUACUCGAAUUUACUGAACAUUUUUGUUUUGUAUAAACUUGAAAGCGCAAUACCAAUUAAUAACACGCAAACAGACGAGUUACCCUGCUUUAGUCAGACAUGUUUUGCAACAAAAACCAUCCGAGACAUAUCAAUUGCAAUUAUAACACUUCUUAAGAAAUGUGACAAUGAACUCGCUAUUACUUGGAAGAAUGCAUUAUUGACAGAUAGAUAACAUCGCUUUGUCAAACAAACACAUCUUUGACACUUGUAUUAUUUGAAGCAUCCUCUAAAUGUAGCUCUGUUCUAGUUAUACUCCAUAGGUAAUCGAAGUUGUGAAUUCUAGUACAAGAUGGUUAAACUUCAUAGGUAAUAUAAGUUAUGAAUUCUAGCGUAAAAUGAAUACACUUAACAGGUAAUAUAGUGGUGGAUUUUUCGUUUUCAGUAACAGAGAUGUUUGAAGGGUAAUAUUAUUUUGUUAUGGCUUCUUAAGUUAACCCUUACCAUGCUGGACUUGAUUGAUUCUGCCUUUGCAACCAGUGUAGAUCAUGAUCAGCCUGCACAUCCGUGCAGUCUCAUCAUUAUCUGCACUGUUUGCUAUUCAGCCAGUAUCUUUUUGGUAAGCACCCCUUCUAAACGUAUAUUCAUCGAACGUAUGUCAUUACCUUGAUGACAAAUAGCUAUGUCAAAUGCAUGUAAUAUUUCAUGCAAUAUAUUUGAUCAUAUCAAGAUGCAUCCAUAUCCUAUUUGCUGAAGACUAUUUAUAUCGACCAAGUUCUACACGUAUAUACUAAUAUUUUCGACAAAAGGUACUUUCAUUGCCUAAUUUUUAAUUCACACUAUUUCUCGGUACAUACAAACUGUAGGAGUUAUAACAAAAACUCUGAAAAUUAGAAAACGUCAGUUUUUUCUGUUACCAAUUUUAUAACGUCCGUGAAAUGAAAAGGAAAAUACUUCUGGAAUAGUCUUUGGAACUGAUAGUUAAUAACUAUAAAACACAUUAAUAAGUCAAGAAUCUUUAAAGAUAUAUUAGAUCCGAAUUUCAUAUUUAAAAACAUGAACAAUUACUACAUAUAGUUUAAGUAAACAUAAAAUUAACAAAUUAACGUUUAUUAACAGUACUAUGCAUUAGGUUUAAAAUAGUAUACACUGUAUACAUGUAUAGAUAAACAUAGCAUAAAUGUGUACUAGUUGCCUUUAAAAAACUGGCUGUUUUAACAGUCAGUUGUUACUGCAUGACAUUAAAUUAUGAAUGUAGUUCUAUAUGCAAACUUAUUUAUAUGUUUAGUAAAUCUAAAAACAUUUAAUGAGGGUUUUAUAUGUUUGAAGUAAAUAUCUAAAGAUAAAAUAUUUUAUUGAAAGAUGGCCGCCGGACACCUCUAAUAAACUAGCAUCUGUUCAUACUACCAUUGCCUUUAUGCUUGGUGUAAGUAUGUUACGUUUAAUUAGACCCACCUAUAACCUAUAUCAGGCGGUGUCAAUCUAUCCAAGUACAUGGUACCUAUAAAAUUCCAUUCAAGUAUUUCCUAGUUGAAUAUGAUUAGCAACGACGGCGUGCUUGUAUGAGUGAAAAGGUCGAGAAUGUCUGUGUUAUCCAUACCUGCAUCAAUUAUCCAGACGAAAGCCAGACAAUUUUAAAAUAACAUACAUGAAUUCGUUGUCUGUUCAGGCCAAUAGCAGUUAAAUCUUUUGGCAUAAGAUUGCAUCUGCUUCCCGCCGUUUAAAGUUGUAUAUAUUUUACUAAACAAUUUGUAAAGGAAGCGUUUGCAAUACAAUUCUUUAAUCAAUUAAACCUUGCCUGGGCAGGCAUUCCAGAUAGAAAUUAUUAAAUAGAACGAAAUUCGUGAUGCGUAAUUUUCCUCAGUACAUUUGAAAAGUCAUGCUUCCUCCAGAAAAUAAACUUUCAGAAAUAUCAAAACCUGAAAUUAUGUAAGUUAUCAAAUGAUUCAAAUAAACCUACGUCGACGUGUACAAUCAUAAACAUCUGGUUGAAAUAGCAGUAUGAAUUAAAUACACAUAUAUUAUGAAUACACAAAGUCAUAUAUUUUAUUAAAUCUUUAUGUUUCUUAUGUAACACGUAUGGUUAUUAGAUAUUUGGAAAUAAAGAAAGUAAUAUGGGAUAUACAACAG